CAAUUUACACAUGGCUUGAGAGAAAAAAGAGAAAUACUGACUAAGCUCUAUGCUGGAACUGUCCAGAUCAGCGUCUAACUAAAAAAUUGGUAAUUAUAAGUUCGAGGAAUUUUACUGCGUAAAAUUUGAAAGUUGAUGGAAUUUUAUGUUACAUUUUUAAGUUAAAUGAUAUCUUUGUUAUAACCCCUAAAGUUCAGGGACAACUAUUGAAAUUUAUCUCUCCCGCCCCCCGCCCCUUAUAUCCCAUAUUUAUAUCCAUACUUG
rnacentral:misc_RNA from 1 species